GACGGGGGGGGCAAGUGUUCUUCGGAAUGACUGGGCGUAAAGGGCGCGUAGGCGGUUGGAUAAGUCUUGUGUGAAAUCUUCGGGCUCAACUCGAAGUCUGCACGAGAAACUAUCUGGCUUGAGUGUGGGAGAGGUGAGUGGAAUUCCUGGUGUAGCGGUGAAAUGCGUAGAUAUCUGCAGGAACACCCGUGGCGAAAGCGGCGCGCUGGACCACUACUGACGCUGAGGAACGAAAGCUAGGGGAGCAAACAGG
rnacentral:rRNA from 1 species